CCUACGGGAGGCAGCAGUGAGGAAUAUUGGACAAUGGGCGCAAGCCUGAUCCAGCCAUGCCGCGUGCAGGAAGAAGCAUCUAUGGUGUGUAAACUGCUUUUGUACAGGAAGAAACACUCCCUCGUGAGGGAGCUUGACGGUACUGUAAGAAUAAGGACCGGCUAACUCCGUGCCAGCAGCCGCGGUAAUACGGAGGGUCCGAGCGUUAUCCGGAAUCAUUGGGUUUAAAGGGUCCGUAGGCGGUUUAAUAAGUCAGUGGUGAAAUCUGGUCGCUCAACGAUCAAACGGCCAUUGAUACUGUUAGACUUGAAUUAUAAGGAAGUAACUAGAAUAUGUAGUGUAGCGGUGAAAUGCUUAGAUAUUACAUGGAAUACCAAUUGCGAAGGCAGGUUACUACUUAUGGAUUGACGCUGAUGGACGAAAGCGUGGGGAGCGAACAGGAUUAGAUACCCUGGUAGUCCACGCCGUAAACGAUGGAUACUAGCUGUUCGGAGNAUNUGAGUGGNGUAGACGAAGUAGAGUAAGUAGUACCACCGUCGGGAGGUAACGGUUCGUCGAAGAAGUAGAAACGUUAACGAAGUUAGAGUUAGUACGGACGUUGAGACGUUAGCCGACGGACGACGACGAGGGAGGAGG
rnacentral:rRNA from 1 species